rnacentral:lncRNA from 1 species
AGAAAAUUCUCUGUUGCAUCUGAAAACAGUCAAACAUGAGCUUCUUCCAAGUGUGAAUGACAUCACAGCUGUUGGACCGGCACAUUUCUAUGCCACAAAUGACCACUACUUCUCUGAUCCUUUCUUAAAGUAUUUAGAAACAUACUUGAACUUACACUGGGCAAAUGUUGUUUACUACAGUCCAAAUGAAGUUAAAGUGGUAGCAGAAGGAUUUGAUUCAGCAAAUGGGAUCAAUAUUUCACCUGAUGAUAAGUAUAUCUAUGUUGCUGACAUAUUGGCUCAUGAAAUUCAUGUUUUGGAAAAACACACUAAUAUGAAUUUAACUCAGUUGAAGAUUUUGACAAUUUCUCAUUUGGAAGGUACUUGAGCUGGAUACACUGGUGGAUAAUUUAUCUAUUGAUCCUUCCUCGGGGGACAUCUGGGUAGGCUGUCAUCCUAAUGGCCAGAAGCUCUUCGUGUAUGACCCGAACAAUCCUCCCUCGUCAGAGGUUCUCCGCAUCCAGAACAUUCUAUCUGAGAAGCCUACAGUGACUACAGUUUAUGCCAACAAUGGGUCUGUUCUCCAAGGAAGUUCUGUAGCCUCAGUGUAUGAUGGGAAGCUGCUCAUAGGCACUUUAUACCACAGAGCCUUGUAUUGUGAACUCUAAAUUGUACUUUUGGCAUGAAAGUGCGAUAACUUAACAAUUAAUUUUCUAUGAA